GAUGAACGCUGGCGGCGUGCUUAACACAUGCAAGUCGAACGGAAAGGCCCUGCUUUUGUGGGGUGCUCGAGUGGCGAACGGGUGAGUAACACGUGAGUAUCCUGCCCUUGACUUUGGGAUAACUUCAGGAAACUGGGGCUAAUACCGGAUAGGAUCUCCUGCUGCGUGGUGGGGGUUGGAAAGUUUCGGCGGUUGGGGAUGGACUCGCGGCUUAUGAGCUCGAUGGUGGGGUAGUUGAUUACCAAGGCAUUGAAGGGUAGCCGGCCUGAGAGGGUGACCGGCCACAUUACGACUGCGAUACGGCGCAGACUCCUACGGGAGGCAGCAGUGGGGAAUAUUGCACAGUGGGCGGAAGUCUGUUACAGCAACGCCGCGUGCGGGAUGACGGCUUUCUGGUUGUAAACCGCUUUCGCCUGUGACGAAGCGGGAGUGACGGUAAUGGGUAAAGAAGCACCGGCUAACUACGUG
rnacentral:rRNA from 1 species